GACGAACGCUGGCGGCGUGCUUAACACAUGCAAGUCGAACGGAAAGGCCCUGCUUUUGUGGGGUGCUCGAGUGGCGAACGGGUGAGUAACACGUGAGUAACCUGCCCUUGACUUUGGGAUAACGUCAGGAAACUGGGUCUAAUACCGGAUAGGAGCUCCUGCUGCAUGGUGGGGGUUGGAAAGUUUCGGCGGUUGGGGAUGGACUCGCGGCUUAUCAGCUUGUUGGUGGGGUAGUGGCUUACCAAGGCUUUGACGGGUAGCCGGCCUGGGAGGGGGACCGGGCACAUUGGGACUGAGAGACGGCCCAGUCGCCUACGGGGGGCAGCAGGGGGGAAUAUUGCACAAUGGGCGGAAGCCUGAUGCAGAGACGCCGCGUGCGGGAUGACGGCCUUCGGGUUGUAAACCGCUUCCGCCUGUGACGAAGCGUGAGUGACGGUAAUGGGUAAAGAAGCACCGGCUAACUACGUG
rnacentral:rRNA from 1 species